rnacentral:rRNA from 1 species
CAAUAGCGUAUAUUAAAGUUGUUGCAGUUAAAAAGCUCGUAGUUGGAUUUCGGGGCAGCCUGGCUGGUCCGCCGCAAGGCGAGUACUGGUCAGCCGCCCUUCCUCUCGAAAGCCCCGACUGCCCUUUAUUGCAGUGGUCGGGUAGUUCGGGACGUUUACUUUGAAAAAAUUAGAGUGUUCAAGGCAGGCCUACGCCUGAAUACAUUAGCAUGGAAUAAUGGAAGAGGACCUCGGUCCUAUUUUGUUGGUUUCCAGGACCGAAGUAAUGAUUAAGAGGGACAGUUGGGGGCAUUCGUAUUUAAUUGUCAGAGGUGAAAUUCUCGGAUUUAUGAAAGACGAACAACUGCGAAAGCAUUUGCCAAGGAUGUUUUCAUUAA